UACGUAGGGAGCAAGCGUUGUUCGGAUUUACUAGGCGUAAAGGGCGCGUAGGCGGCGCAGUAAGUCAGCUGUGAAAUCUCCGAGCUUAACUCGGAACGGCCAGCUGAUACUGCAGUGCUAGAGUGCAGAAGGGGCAAUCGGAAUUCUUGGUGUAGCGGUGAAAUGCGUAGAUAUCAAGGGGAACACCUGAGGUGAAGACGGGUUGCUGGGCUGACACUGACGCUGAGGCGCGAAAGCCAGGGGAGCAAACGGG
rnacentral:rRNA from 1 species